UAGGGAAUCUUCCACAAUGGACGCAAGUCUGAUGGAGCAACGCCGCGUGAGUGAAGAAGGUCUUCGGAUCGUAAAACUCUGUUGUUAGAGAAGAACACGAGUGAGAGUAAUUGUUCAUUCGAUGACGGUAUCUAACCAGCAAGUCACGGCUAACUACGUGACAG
rnacentral:rRNA from 1 species